CACUUACCCAGAUCAAGAGACAAAAGAGCUCCAUACUCCAGAGAGAGGCCCCUUGCCAGUUGUCUAUGUCAUCACUGUGGUCUGCAUCCUAACCUCAGGGAAACAGUGAGUUAAACUAUCUUUCCCUGAUGUGCCUCAGUUUCCCCUUCUGCACAUAGAUGGGAUUCUGAUUCCUAUCCUACCUCACUCAGAUGAUUGUUCUAGACACACAAGGAGCUAAUUAAUGGAUGUACAGGGUCUUGGGGAAAGUCAAAGGCAUGGCCGCUGCUGUUAUUGCUAUUCAUUCUUACUUAUUUUCACUCAUCCUGUCAGCCCAAGCUUAAGUCCCAGCCUCUGUGUGAAGCAUCCCCCAUCUCCUGGUCCCUCCCUGUGUCCACUACUGUCACCCCAAUGAUAACAACAGUCUCCAGGCGGCUACUGUGCCCAGGUCCCCUACUUGCAUUCUCUUGCUUAGCCCACACAACGAUGCCAGGAGCCAAGUAGGAAUGACCCGUUUUGCAAGUCAAGAAACCGAGGCUGAUCUUGCCCAAGACCGCACAGAAGAGAAAGACAGAGCCAGGAUCCAAUCCAGAUUGGGGCCUGCCAAGUCUGCCCAGAUCUUCCCCUGUUUCCUGCCGCCCCCUCUGCCUGGGGACCACCAGCUGUGGGGACUGACGAUCCCAGCUGCCUGUCCUUCCCAGUUUCUAGUAGAGCCUGAAGAAACUGUUUACCUCUCACAGAGCAAGGCUCAGAGACCGGGACACCCUUAGCUUUCACAAAUUGGCUUGGUUUGCCACACACUGUUACCAUUUAAGGGGCAGCCAGUAAAAAGGAAGUAUGUUCCGAGUUAACAGAGCUCCGAGCUCUUGGCCAGCACAUUACCCACUACAGGCCUGAACCCCAGGGGCUCAUAAGCCAUCCAAGUAUUGGAGGAAGCACACUGUGGUGGGUGUGGGGGUGCCCAGGCGGCUGCAGGAAGGAACGCUAGCCACUCUCAUUCCCAAUCCACCCGGCAGCCCAGCCUGGGACCACAGGAACCCAAACACCAGACGUGGGCCCCUCAGCAUGAUUUCCAUGAAACUUAAUAGAUGUGUUUCCAUUCCUUCCCAGUGAACACAGCCCGCAGCCCGGCAGGAGCCAGGCUGUUCCCAGGCAGGAGCCAGCGGGUGUGAGGCUGAAAAGGAAGAAGGUGAGACGAGCCACAGCCCCCUCCCCUGCAGCCCAAGGUCAGAGAAGGAGCUCAUCAAGGGGACAGGCAGAACCAGGCCCGCACUGCUGGCUCCUAUACCAUGCUCACGACCUUCUGGACUGACCCAGGGAAGCUUGCAGGACACAUGUGCUUCCAGGCAGAAGGAUGGACCCCCACCACCCAUCAGACACAGCCUAGAAUUAUCUGUGGAUGAACCUGCCUUCUCCAUGGACUGCCAGCCCCCAAAGCAGGAACCACGUCCUUAUAGAGGGCCUGGCACACAGUAGGGAACUGGGGUGGGGUACUGCCAUGCAGCAGGUGGCCCACAAAACAAUUUUGGGAGAACAUAGAUUGAUGUGAAAUCACAGCGAGAAAGUUACUCCAGUUCUCUUCCAUUCCUCACGAUGACACCAAGGACAAUACCUCAGUCUGGAGCCAGUCUAUCUCGAAGACCUCUCAGGCACUUACUCAUCACUCUGUUUAACAAAAGAAAACAGUCCUCGGGCUUGAAAUUGUUCACCACCAACCUCAUCCAGCCAGAAUUUACUAAC